CAUCGCCAAUGGUCCCCCACUCCAAUCGAGGUGGGGAGAUACUGGAAACAUGAACUUUAUAACCCCCCCCAAAAAAAUACAAAUAGAAGAGAAAGAGAUUAAGAGAGAAAGAGAGAGGUAUAUUUAUAAAUAGUUGAAAUUAAAUAUUAACUGAGAAUACUGAAAAGCCCUAGUCUUUUAAUUAAAUUAACUGUUUUAAUUUCUAAUUAAAAAGGGAUAUUAAAUAAGUAUAUAAAACACUUUUUUUCUUUUCUCUGCCUCCAUUCUAGGCAUAUGGAUCCUGCUCCAGCUCUCUCCACUAUGGAGUGGGAGGCAAGGUCAGGGUCCAGGGUCAGGGAAGCAUUCCCACACCCACAGCCACCCAUUCGCCCUUCACCCUCAUGCAUGCCUGCCUUCAGACAAGAGGGUUUAUCUCUGCCUUUUGGAGCCUGCCUCCAUGAGCAAGUCUCAGACAGAGGGGAAUAGCUUCUCCUCCUUGGGAAAAGUAAUAUUCCCUCUUCAAAAAUGUUCCACUGUCUUGUGAAGGGCACCCAGGCA
rnacentral:lncRNA from 1 species